rnacentral:rRNA from 1 species
UACGUAGGGUGCAAGCGUUAAUCGGAAUUACUGGGCGUAAAGCGUGCGCAGGCGGUUUUGUAAGUCUGUCGUGAAAGCCCCGGGCUUAACCUGGGAAUUGCGAUGGAGACUGCAAGGCUUGAAUCUGGCAGAGGGGGGUAGAAUUCCACGUGUAGCAGUGAAAUGCGUAGAGAUGUGGAGGAACACCGAUAGCGAAGGCAGCCCCCUGGGUCAAGAUUGACGCUCAUGCACGAAAGCGUGGGGAGCAAACAGG